GACAUGUUAACAUGUAUGUAUGUUUACAUUAGAAGAAAUAGAUAGGAUGAAAAUUGAAUAAGAAUUAAAAUGUCAAAGUCUGAUUAAAAGUAAAUUUUUCAUUAAACGAAAAAUAAAAUACAUUCGGUAUAGAUCCGAUAUAGAAAAAUUAAAAUACAUACGUUAAAAGAAAAACACAUUCUAAUUAUUAUUAUCAUCAUCAUUAAUGACAGCCGGUCAAUCAACUCGCAGCAGCAGGGCCCUCAUCAGCCUCUGUAUCUCUCUGAACAUUGUCGCUCUCACAGCGACCAAACCUGCCUCUAAAGUUUUCGUACUGUGUCGCGUAGAAUAGCAAUAUCUGGAAAAAGAUCAGCCACAUCUAGAACACGUAUGAAUUGAAAAAUUUAAAGAAAAAAGUUCAAAAUGUAAUACAACGUAUACGACUAACUGGUAAAUUUACUCUAGAAAAAAACUUACCUCAAUGAGAAAGGAAUAUGCUAUUUGAAGAGAAGUGGUUGAAGAUGUCACACGAAAAGAAAAAAUGCAAAAAAUAAAUAAAGUUGAGUUGAAUGAAAAUUAAGGAGGAACUUAUUUAUAGAGGAUUGAAUCUGGACGUGUCAGGCCAAAAGGUAGGAUUGUUUAGCUCCAUUAUAUUAAUUAUAUUCAAACUGGUAUCACUUUAUUUUCUAUGAAAAGUCACUACUUUUUCUUUUACAUUAAUUACUUCUCACCCUUUCAAAACGGUUUGAGACUCAAUAAAAGCCGUUAUUAUUGAGCUGUUGCAACAGAUCGUCCAUCUGUCACAACUGAUUAGCAUCUGUUGCAACAGAUGGAUUGAAUGUGCAACAAAUGGUCUGUCAAAACAGAUUUAUCAUCUGUUGCAAUAAAUAGUUUGUAUAUGUAACAAAUAAGACAUCUGAUGCAACAUAUGUAUUAUCUGUUGCGACAGAUGGACAGUAUGUUGGAGGAGAUAUUUUGAUAUCUUCUAAUAGCUGAUUCAUCAGUUUCAACAGAUGGAGUAUUCGGUUCAUUAGCUGUUUUGAAUGUGUUAGAUAAAAAGUCACGGCUCUUCACCUCUUUUUAAUAGUCCCUCCAUUUCGUAUUAGUUAGGCCCUAUGGACUUGGCACACCAAUUAAUAAAAAUAUAAAUUAGGUGAUUAUUUUACCAAAUUGGCCUUAUUAAUUAUACUUUGAAAGUAUAAAUGUGAAUAAUAUACUUUAUGUAGUCAUUUAAUAAUAGGGGUAAUCUUGGAAGAAUAUAUAAUAAAAUUCUCUUGAUUUUAUAAAUAGGACAACUAAAUUGAAACAAACAUUUUUAGCAAAAAGUAAUCACAUGUAUGCAGAUGAAUAAAAACACAGUCUGGUCUGUUACAAUAGAUUUACCAUCAGUUGCAACAUAUGGAUUAUCUGUUGCGACAGAUGAACCAUAUGUUGGAGGAGAUAUUUUGAUUUCUUCCAACAGCUGAUUCAUCAGUUGCAAACAGAUGGAGAUUUUGAUUCAUCAACUGUUUUGAAUGUGUUAAGAUAAAAAGUCACUACUCUUCAUACCUUUUUUUUAAUAGUCAUCAUAUGCAUACAGAUGAAUGAACAACACUGUCUGACAUGUCCUGAUGGGGUAGGAAGAAUAAGCUGCAUGCGAGUUAUGUAUAUUAUUAAUCAGGAUACCGUGGCAGACACACAUAAAGUGCAAUGAUUUUAUGAAUGCAGCUUUUUAUCAAUUAGACAAUGAUCCUUCAAACAAGAUUAUGCAUUGUACAGUUUAGUUUGAUAGGUGCGAACUAAUAAGGCUGAAGGGUUUCAAGAUGGUGGUGUCGAUACCCCGUUAUAAUUUAAUAACAGUUUAUGCUCAUGUUUUUAUGUCAAGUUUGGGGAAGGGUUCAAGUUUUUUGCGACAGUGUAAAUAUUCAAUAGUGAUUGGACCGGUUUUAAUGGCGCAAUGGACUUCUUGAAAGGCCUCCGAAGCCUCGCAAUACAGCAAACAAUGAUGGAACCAAUAGAAAUUCCCCUAGUUAAAAUUUAUUUUGAUGGAUUGUUGGAGGAGACUUUUAUACAGCAGAAGGUGCUUGGGAGAAUAGCUGUGCGUGAAGGGAGGUGGAGAAGGCCAUAUAUCAUCUCAGAUCUUGAUAUAUGGUCAAUGAAAUUGACAUGAGAAACCUGAACUCAAACUUUUAUACACCAAUGAAAUUGACAUGAUCCCAUAUUUUUAAUACAAGAGUAGUUGGUUCAGGUUUCAAUUCAGACCGACAAUCUUACUACCUUUUGUGCUCGCGAAGCUGCUUCCUUAGAGUUCUGGUCCUUCACUUUGUGAGAGUCUUCAUUCAGACCACGUUCUCUAGUUGCAUUCUCGAGCAAAGUGUCCAGCUCCAGUCCUGUUGACUAUUCUUUUUUUUCUUCAACGACUGAUGAAUUUUCAUUUUUGAAUACACUUUCACAUUCACACCUCAUUCAGUUUUUUUAUUUUUCAUGUUAAUUUCAUCAGCCAAUUUCGCUACACUUUCCUUCACACCCUAUGUUUCCACUUAAACAAGGACUGAGAUGAUAUAUGGCUUUCUCAACCUCCUCCUUCUCGUACAAGUUUUCUCCCAAACACCUUUUACUGUAUAAUAGUCUACUCCAAUAACCCAUCUAUAUAAAUUUGGACCAGGAGAAUUUCUAUUGGUUCCAUCGUUGUUUGUUGUAGUGCAAGGCUUCGGAGGCCUUUCAAUAAGUCCAUUAAAACCAGUCCAAUCACCAUUAGAUAUUUAUACUGCCGCCAAAAAACUUGAACCCUUCCCCAAACUUAACACAAAAACAUGAGCAUAAAUCAUCAUUAAAUUUUAAUGGGGUAUUGAUACCACCGUCUUGGUCCCUCAGCCUUACCAGUACGAACCUAACAAUAUUAACUGUAAACUGUCAUAUCUUGUUUAAAGGAUUAAAGCAUAAUAGGUAAAGAACAAACAUUCAAAAGAUCAUUGUACUGAAUGUGUGUUUUCAUGAUAGGUUGAUCAGUAAUACACACCUCCCACAUAUGAAGUGGUUCCAUCUGCAAGCAGCUUAUUUCUCCGAACCCAUCUUUACUCUAGCCUUUAAUGCUGGCCAGGCAAAAGUGGAUCCAGUUUCACUUUUCUUUAUCUGCAAACAAGAGAAAUACAUUUGAUGUCAAACAAGAAAAGAACAAAAAGAAAACAAAAAAAACAUUACCAAAGGGUAACACAAAAUUGAGUGAAUCAACAAAUGACUAAUAGGAUGCAACAGAUUACCCAUCUGUUCAACCAAUGAGGCAUCGUUGUAACAGAUGGAUGACAUGUUGCAACAUAUGGGUUAUUUGUUGGAAUUAAUCAAACCAGCCUUGCUACUGGUUUGAUUCCUUCAAAUAGUUGCUCUGUCUGUUCCAACAGCUGAUUCAUCAGUUGCAACAGUUGAGAAAACUGUUGCAACACCACCAACAUCAGCAUCAACAACAAAGAAACAACAUCAUAUGUUCCAAUACCAUCCACAACACAAACGUCACAUGUUCUAACACGACCACCCCCACAACAAUAGCACAACCAAAGUACCAAACAAAAGAUAUAAAAAAAACUAUGCUGACAACAAGGCUUUUUAAGUUCUCCUAACAGAUGACUUUUUCGCAUAUUUUAAUAAAAACAACAGUUCGUUUAUUCAAGACUCAAAAGUCACCGUUCCUUCAAUUUUUUCAAUAAAUAGGAAACUGGUAAUGGGCAAAUCAUUAAAAGCAACAGAUGUAAAUAUCUAAUUUAAAUGACAUACAAAGAAGAAGAAGAGAUGAAAAGAGCAACAAUGAAUCGUACCUACAAUGUCAAAAAAGUAAAUGGAUCAAAAUAUCCAGUUCAGUCGAGAAAAGAUAUUGAUUGGUUGAGAUCCUAAAGGAUCCUCAUCCAAAAAAAGAGAGGAAAGAGAGGAAAAAAGAAAACAAAUAUAAUUAAGAAUUGAGAAUAAAGAAGAGUGAUGAGUUGAGUCUAGACUACUUUAUGGCUGAAGGAGAGAGAUCUAGAUAUGGAUUUUAAAUAUUCAUUAAUAACUUUUGAGGGGCAUGACGAGAUGGUAACAUUGAAAAGACCAGAUAAGACUACUCACUCAGGAGAUUUUUGAGUUAUCCAAGUAGUACCGAGUAAUAUUUUUUACCGUCUUAGUAUUUUAACUUUUUUAUCUCAGGCAGGACAUACCUAAAUUGCUUUAAAAAGGAUCUUAAAACAUUUAAGUACAACAGGUGACAAUUUAUGUUUGGAAAUUUCCAACGCUCAGUAAUCUAUCGCAACAAAUGACGUAAUCUGUUUGAUAGUUUACAAUAGAUGCGUAAUAUAUUGCAACAGAUUACCUAAUCUGUUUGAUUUGAUCCAAAAAAAAAAAUCUAUUACAACAAGUUGAACAUUUGUUUAUAUAUAAUUUAAUUGAGUUCAUAUGUUGGACUAAAACCUUAAUUGAAUGUGAGUUCUCAUAGGGUCAACUACAACUUCAAUUAAGUCUUUUGACAAUUGCAUGAUGAGAUGGUAUUGCGUUCCUCCUGGCCAGAGUCGUCGAUGAUCACUCUGAGCCAAAUCGAUUCUUACUACCUCAUAUGUUAGAUUAAUACCUUAAUUAAUUAAUCUAGGACUAGGGUACUAAUACCUUAAUUUAAUAAUCUAGGACUAGAGGUGAGUUCUCAUAGGGUCAACUAUAACUUCAAUUGAGUCUUUUGGCAAUUGCAUGAUGAGACGGUACUGCAUUUCUUCUAACCAGAGUCAUUGAUCGAUCACUCUGAGCCGAACCAAUUCUUACUACGUCAUAUAUUAGACUAAUACCUUAAUUGAUUAAUGUAGGACUAGGGUACUAAUACCUUAAUUGAAUAAUCGAGAACUAAGGGUGAGUUCUCAUAGGGUCAACUACAACUUCAAUUGAGUCAUUUGGCAAUUGCAUGAUAAGACGGUAUUACAUUCCUCCCGACCAUAGUCGUCGAUCGAUCACUCUGAGCCGAACCGAUUCUUACUACCUCAUAUGUUAAACUAAUACCUUAAUUGAUUAAUCUAGGACUGGGGUACUAUUACCUUAAUUGAAUAAUCUAGGACUAGGGGUGAAUUCUCUUAGGGUCAACUAUAACUUCAAUUGAGUCUUUUGUAAAUUGCAUGAUGAGACGGUACUACAUUUCUCCUGACCAGAGUCGUCGAUCGAUAACUCUAAGCCGAACCGAUUCUUACUACCUCAUAUGUUCAACUAAUACCUUAAUUGAUUAAUCUAGGACUAGGGAUGAGUUCUCAUAAUGUCAACUACAAUAGAUGACAUUGCGUAUUUGAUAAUUUUCAACAGAUGGCUAAUCUAUUAUGAUAUGUGACUUAACCUAUUUGAUAAUUUACAACAGAUGGGUAAUUUGUCACAACAGAUGACUUAAUCUAUUUGAUUAUUUGCAACAGAUUUGUGAUAUGUUGUAAUAAGUGACACAAUCUGUUUGAUAGUUUACAACAGAUACGUAAUACGUUUCAACAAAUUACCUAAUUUAUUUGAUUUGAUCUAACAGAAAAGACAUAUGUUGCAACAGGUAUAAUUUUAAUUGAGUUCAUAUGUCAGACUAAUACCUUAAUUUAAUGUGAUUUCUCAUAGGGUCAACUACAACUUCAAUUGAGUCUUUUGGCAAUUACAUGAUGAGACGGUAUUGCGUUCCUCCCGACCAGAGUCGUUGAUCGAUCACUUUGAGCCGAACUGAUUCUUACUACCUUAUAUGUUAGACUAAUACCUUAAUUGAAUAAUCUAGGACUAGGGUACUAAUACCUUAAUUGAAUAAUCUAGGACUAGGGGUGAGUUUUCAUAAGAUCAACUACAACUUCAAUUGAGUCUUUUAGCAAUUGCAUGAUGAGACGGUCCUGUGUUCCUCCCGACCAGAGUCGUCGAUCGAUAACUCUAAGCCGAACCUAUUCUUACUAUCUCAUAUAUUCAAAUAAUACCUUAAUUGAUUAAUCUAGGACAUGGUACUAGUACCUUAAUUGAAUAAUCUGGGACUAGGGGUGACUUCUCAUAUGGUUAACUAUUGAUUAAUCUAGGACUAGAUGUGAGUUCUUAUAGGGCCAGCUACAACAGAUGGCAAUGCCUAUUUGAUAAUUUAGAACAUAUGGGUAAUUUGUUGCAACAAAUGACAAUUUAUUUGAUAAUUUAUAACAGAUGGGUAAUCUGUUGCAACAGAUGACUUAAUAUGUUUGAUAAUUUACAACAGAUUUGUAAUCCGUUGUUACCUAAUCUGAUUGAUAAUUUAAAAUAGAUGCUAAAUCUGAUGCAAUAUGUUGAACAUUUGUUUUUAUACAAUUUCAAUUGAGUUCAUAUGUUAGACUAAUAGUACCUAAAUUGAUUAAUCUAGGACCAGGGGUGAGUUCAUAGGGUCAACUAGAUUACUCGGUCAACUACAACUUUAAUUAUUUUUAUACAAUUUCAAUUGAGUUCAUAUGUUAGAAUAAAUAGUACCCUUUUGGUAAUUGCAUGAUGAGAGGGUUAAAAAUUAUGCAUAUCUUUUAUAAUUUUAAAAAUAAUUAAGAUCAAUUCGAACCAAAUUACCAUUUUUAAAACUUGUCAUUCUUUUUCAAAAUGCAAAUCAAUUCAUACAAAACGCUUCAUCAUUUCAAAUCUCGAGUUCUCACUCUUUCUCUCUCAUUGUCGCUUAACAAUACAGUACAGACAAUAACUACUCAACAAAUUUGCUUAAACCUCUACAACAGAUUGCUUUUCUCAUUUUCGACCAUAUAGGUGUUAUUUUUGACUUUAUUCUUACUUGUAUCAGUCGUUUUCUUUGUCUUCGUAGGCAGCAGAGUUCGAGAAGAGUUCUAUAUUUGUUUUUUUUUCUAAAAAAUAACACCUUUUAAGUUAAUAAUGAAAAAUAAAACUUUUAGUUGUAUUAUCUUCGAGAAUGGGUUUACAAUUUUAAGUUUUGAUGGUAAAAUUGUAGAAAGAACUCAAGAAAUCCCUAGUUUCCAUCGCAGUGUUCUGUUGACUAUCGUGGUAUUGUUGGAUGGUGUUUGUGGUGUUGGUGGUAGUGAUGGUGUUUGUGGUCGUCGUGGUGGCACUGGUGGUGGUAUUGUUUGUGGUGGCUGUCGGUGGUGGUGGUAUUCGUGGUGUUUGUUUAUGGCAUUGGUUGGUGGUAUUUGUGGUGGUGGCUAUUGGUGUGUCGGUAUUCGUGGUGUUUGUAAUGUAUUUUUUAAAAUUUAUGCAUACAUCAAUUGUAAUGUAAUUUUUGUUUUUCUGUUGUUUAUAGGUAAAAUAUGUCUUCCAAAAAAAAAGAAAGUGAAAGUGGAUCAACGUCUGACUACCCAAAAAAAAGGCUACAGUACAGAGGGAUUCGGAGGAGCUUCCUAAACAAUCUCAUUCAGGGAAAAGUAAAGCUGAGGAGAGAUAUGAAAACAAUAUUGAGGGAGGUGGACAAAGGUCUGUAGAUAGUGAUGAAGAAAAUGAAAGUGUGAAAAAGGAGGAAUUAGAGAGUGAGAAAGAGAAAGAGGAUGAUCAUCAACAUGAUGAUAAUGGAUCACUAAUGGGGCAUGAAUUAAUAUUGACAUCCCAACAUAAUCCUGUAAAAACUUUUAGUAUUGACAGGUUUCAAGUUGCGAUGUCGAUAAAUGACCCAGAAGCAAAACAACUAACUGGUAAAUUGAACUUAAAUGUUAGAUGGGGAAAAUUUUUGAACAUUUUAUGAAAAUUAUGAAGAAUGAAAACAUAGGCAUACUUUUUAAGAAGAGCUAUUUUGGGACGCUUUCUUGAGCUUCCUGAAGACCCCUUUGCCCGUAUCCAUUUCCCUAUGACGAUGGUAUAUGGUCUUCUCAAGUGCAG
rnacentral:lncRNA from 1 species